UUGGAGGGCAAGUCUGGUGCCAGCAGCCGCGGUAAUUCCAGCUCCAAUAGCGUAUAUUAAAGUUGUUGCAGUUAAAAAGCUCGUAGUUGAAUUUCGGAAUCAAUAUGCUGGUCGUGCCAUUGGUACGUACUAGUAUUAUUGGUUUCUCCCUUCUGAUGAAUCAUGAUGUCAUUAAUUUGAUGUCAUGGGGAAUCAGGACUGUUACUUUGAAAAAAUUAGAGUGUUUAAAGCAGGCUCGCGCUUGAAUACAUUAGCAUGGAAUAAUGAAAUAGGAUGUUUGAUUCUAUUUUGUUGGUUUCUAGGAUUGACGUAAUGAUUAAUAGGGAUAGUUGGGGGCAUUAGUAUUCAAUUGUCAGAGGUGAAAUCCUUGGAUUUAUUGAAGACUAACUACUGCGAAAGCAUUUGCCAAGGAUGUUUUCAUUAAUCAAGAACGAAAGUUAGGGGAUCGAAGACGAUCAGAUACCGUCGUAGUCUUAACCAUAAACUAUGCCGACUAGGGAUCGGAUGAUGUUAAUUUUUUAAUGACUCAUUCGGCGCCUUACGGGAAACCAAAGUGUUUGGGUUC
rnacentral:rRNA from 1 species